CAUUAGCUAGUUGGUGAGGUAACGGCUCACCAAGGCCACGAUGCAUAGCCGACCUGAGAGGGUGAUCGGCCACAUUGGGACUGAGACACGGCCCAAACUCCUACGGGAGGCAGCAGUAGGGAAUCUUCGGCAAUGGACGAAAGUCUGACCGAGCAACGCCGCGUGAGUGAAGAAGGUUUUCGGAUCGUAAAACUCUGUUGUUAGAGAAGAACAAGGAUGAGAGUAACUGUUCAUCCCUUGACGGUAUCUAACCAGAAAGCCACGGCUAACUACGUGCCAGCAGCCGCGGUAAUACGUAGGUGGCAAGCGUUGUCCGGAUUUAUUGGGCGUAAAGCGAGCGCAGGCGGUUUCUUAAGUCUGAUGUGAAAGCCCCCGGCUCAACCGGGGAGGGUCAUUGGAAACUGGGAGACUUGAGUGCAGAAGAGGAGAGUGGAAUUCCAUGUGUAGCGGUGAAAUGCGUAGAUAUAUGGAGGAACACCAGUGGCGAAGGCGGCUCUCUGGUCUGUAACUGACGCUGAGGCUCGAAAGCGUGGGGAGCAAACAGGAUUAGAUACCCUGGUAGUCCACGCCGUAAACGAUGAGUGCUAAGUGUUGGAGGGUUUCCGCCCUUCAGUGCUGCAGCUAACGCAUUAAGCACUCCGCCUGGGGAGUACGACCGCAAGGUUGAAACUCAAAGGAAUUGACGGGGGCCCGCACAAGCGGUGGAGCAUGUGGUUUAAUUCGAAGCAACGCGAAGAACCUUACCAGGUCUUGACAUCCUUUGACCACUCUAGAGAUAGAGCUUCCCCUUCGGGGGCAAAGUGACAGGUGGUGCAUGGUUGUCGUCAGCUCGUGUCGUGAGAUGUUGGGUUAAGUCCCGCAACGAGCGCAACCCUUAUUGUUAGUUGCCAUCAUUCAGUUGGGCACUCUAGCAAGACUGCCGGUGACAAACCGGAGGAAGGUGGGGAUGACGUCAAAUCAUCAUGCCCCUUAUGACCUGGGCUACACACGUGCUACAAUGGGAAGUACAACGAGUUGCGAAGUCGCGAGGCUAAGCUAAUCUCUUAAAGCUUCUCUCAGUUCGGAUUGCAGGCUGCAACUCGCCUGCAUGAAGCCGGAAUCGCUAGUAAUCGCGGAUCAGCACGCCGCGGUGAAUACGUUCCCGGGCCUUGUACACACCGCCCGUCACACCACGAGAGUUUGUAACACCCG
rnacentral:rRNA from 1 species